CCGAGAUCGUGCCACUGCACUCCAGCCUGGGCGACAGAGCAAGACUUCAUCUCAAAAAAAAAAAAAAAAAAUUGUAACAUCACCUGAUACCCAGUCCACAUAAAAUUUCUGUUCCUGCCUCAAAAAUGUCCAGAACGAUGUAUGAAUUUUAAAACAGAGUUAGAAGGGUUCAUGGCUUCUGCUCACCCAGUUCUCUGAACUGAGUGGGGUCCCCAGGCUCUAGCCCCCGGGGGAGGUGAGGUGAGGGGCAGGCCUCCUGGGGGCUGACGUGGCCGCCCUUGUCUGCCCACAGUGGUGACCAUCAUCAAGGGGAAGGUGGAGGAGGUGGAGCUCCCGGUGGAGAAGGUGGACAUCAUCAUCAGCGAGUGGAUGGGCUACUGCCUCUUCUACGAGUCGAUGCUCAACACCGUGCUCUAUGCCCGGGACAAGUGGCUGGCGCCCGAUGGCCUCAUCUUCCCAGACCGGGCCACACUGUAUGU
rnacentral:sRNA from 1 species